rnacentral:rRNA from 1 species
AUACGUAGGGGGCGAGCGUUGUCCGGAAUGAUUGGGCGUAAAGGGCGCGUAGGCGGCCCGGUAAGUCUGGAGUGAAAGUCCUGUUUUUAGGAUGGGAAUUGCUUUGGAUACUGUCGGGCUUGAGUGCAGGAGAGGUAAGUGGAAUUCCCAGUGUAGCGGUGAAAUGCGUAGAGAUUGGGAGGAACACCAGUGGCGAAGGCGACUUACUGGACUGUACCUGACGCUGAGGCGCGAAAGUGUGGGGAGCAAACAGGAUUAGAUACCCUGGUAGUCCACACUGUAAAGGAUGAAUGCUAGGUGUAGGGGGUAUCGACCCCUUCUGCGCCGCAGUCAACCCAAUAAGCAUUCCGCCUGGGGAGUACGGCCGCAAGGUUGAAACUCAAAUGAAUUGACGGGG